rnacentral:rRNA from 1 species
GACGGAGGGAGCGAGCGUUGUUCGGAAUUACUGGGCUUAAAGGGCGCGUAGGCGGCUUCCCAAGUUGGAGGUGAAAUCCUCCGGCUCAACCGGGGAACUGCCUCGGAUACUGGAGGCCUCGAGGCGGGUAGGGGCGUGCGGAACUGUGGGUGGAGCGGUGAAAUGCGUUGAUAUCCACAGGAACUCCGGUGGCGAAAGCGGCGCGCUGGACCCGAUCUGACGCUGAGGCGCGAAAGCCAGGGGAGCAAACGGG